rnacentral:lncRNA from 1 species
AUUCCUGAAGGAUAUGAAGCGUGCUAUGAUGGAAAGUAUGUUACAAGGUAUGUAAACACAUAAUUUUAAUUUGCAAAGAUUAAUGUAUAAUAGCAUUGAUGGAAUUUUGAAUUGGCCUUCCUUAUGAUUUAGGGGUCUUGAAUAAGAGGAGGAAAAUAGAUGUUGUGGAGAAUUCUGAGCAGGAGACGUCAGAUGAUUCGAUAGAGAAUGGUAGGUCUCCUGUUGCCGUCGUCAAAAAGACUAGGUAUGAGAAACGCAAGGAAUGGAUGGUGAACUACAAAGAAUGAGUUGUCAGACCGUAUGAGGAUUAUCCGACAUUGUUCACAAGGACCACUCCUUCUGUGUUGGUGAAAGCUGUGGAACAGAUGAACGAGCAACAAAAGCAUGAAUCACAUAGUUCAUUGCAUGAAUUAUUUUGCAUGAUUCUGAAUUCAUACAUUUGAUUCGUGUUGUAUCAACGAUUGAUUCAUGCAAUGUAUUUUUGAUUUGUACAAUAUCAAAACAUAAUUCAUGCAGUUUACUGUGUAUGAAUCCAGACUUUGUUGAUUCGUAGUAUUUUUG